rnacentral:rRNA from 1 species
AGCAGUCGCCGCGGGAAUACGGAGGGGGCUAGCGUUGUUCGGAAUUACUAGGCGUAAAGCGCGCGUAGGCGGCUUGGUAAGUUAGAGGUGAAAGCCUGGGGCUCAACCCCAGAAUUGCCUUUAAGACUGCCGAGCUAGUAGGAGAGAGAGGUAAGUGGAAUUCCGAGUGUAGAGGUGAAAUUCGUAGAUAUUCGGAAGAACACCAGUGGCGAAGGCGGCUUACUGGCUCAUUCUAGACGCUGAGGUGCGAAAGCGUGGGGAGCAAACAGGAUUAGAUACCCGGGUAGUCCCUGUCUCUUAUAC